rnacentral:tRNA from 1 species
GGUUGUUUGGCCGAGCGGUCUAAGGCGCCUGAUUCAAGAGUUUCUCUCUUAGCCGUUUAACAANGUGAAUACUCAGGUAUCGUAAGAUGCGUGAGUUCGAAUCUCACAGCAACCA